rnacentral:rRNA from 1 species
CAUUUGAAACUGGUUGACUAGAGUUUUGUAGAGGGUGGUAGAAUUUCAGGUGUAGCGGUGAAAUGCGUAGAGAUCUGAAGGAAUACCAGUGGCGAAGGCGGCCACCUGGACAAAGACUGACACUGAGGCGCGAAGGCGUGGGGAGCAAACGGGAUUAGAUACCCCGGUAGUCCACGCAGUAAACGAUGUCUAUUAGAAGUUUGUGGCUAUAUGCCGUGGGUUUCAAAGCUAACGCAUUAAAUAGACCGCCUGGGGAGUACGGCCGCAAGGUUAAAACUCAAAUGAAUUGACGGGGGCCCGCACAAGCGGUGGAGCAUGUGGUUUAAUUCGAUGCAACGCGAAGAACCUUACCAUCCCUUGACAUCCAGAGAAUCACCUAGAGAUAGAUGAGUGCCUUCGGGAACUCUGAGACAGGUGCUGCAUGGCUGUCGUCAGCUCGUGUUGUGAAAUGUUGGGUUAAGUCCCGCAACGAGCGCAACCCUUAUCCUUAGUUGCCAGCACGUAAUGGUGGGAACUCUAGGGAGACUGCCGGUGAUAAACCGGAGGAAGGUGGGGACGACGUCAAGUCAUCAUGGCCCUUACGGGAUGGGCUACACACGUGCUACAAUGGCAAAUACAAAGGGUUGCUAACCUGCGAGGGUAUGCGAAUCUCAUAAAGUUUGUCGUAGUCCGGAUCGGAGUCUGCAACUCGACUCCGUGAAGUUGGAAUCGCUAGUAAUCGUGGAUCAGAAUGCCACGGUGAAUACGUUCCCGGGCCUUGUACACACCGCCCGUCACACCAUGGGAGUGGGCUGCACCAGAAGUCAUUAGCUUAACCUUCGGGAUGGCGAUGACCACGGUGUGGUUCAUGACUGGGGUGAA